UCACCUGUGAGCUCAGUUGGGAGAGCGUUAGACUGAAGAUCUAAAGGUCACCAGUUCGAUCCUGGUUGGGGGCA
rfam:Caenorhabditis japonica strain DF5081 Contig18141.4, whole genome shotgun sequence.